rnacentral:rRNA from 1 species
GAUCCUGGCUCAGAUUGAACGCUGGCGGCAGGCCUAACACAUGCAAGUCGAGCGGAAGAAGGGAGCUUGCUCCCGGAUUUAGCGGCGGACGGGUGAGUAACACCUGGGAAUCUGCCUGAUAGUGGGGGAUAACGUCCGGAAACGGGCGCUAAUACCGCGUACGUCCUACGGGAGAAAGCAGGGGAUCUUCGGACCUUGCGCUAUCAGAUGAGCCCAGGUCGGAUUAGCUUGUUGGUGAGGUAAUGG